rnacentral:rRNA from 1 species
CCAGACUCCUACGGGAGGCAGCAGUGGGGAAUAUUGCACAAUGGGGGGAACCCUGAUGCAGCGACGCCGCGUGAAGGAAGAAGUAUCUCGGUAUGUAAACUUCUAUCAGCAGGGAAGAAAGAGGACGGUACCUGACUAAGAAGCCCCGGCUAACUACGUGCCAGCAGCCGCGGUAAUACGUAGGGGGCGAGCGUUAUCCGGAAUUACUGGGUGUAAAGGGAGCGUAGACGGCGAGGUAAGCCUGAAGUGGAAGCCCGCGGCCCAACCGCGGAACUGCUUUGGAAACUGUGCAGCUAGAGUGCAGGAGAGGUAAGUGGAAUUCCCAGUGUAGCGGUGAAAUGCGUAGAUAUUAGGAGGAACACCAGUGGCGAAGGCGGCUUACUGGACUGUAACUGACGUUGAGGCUCGAAAGCGUGGGGAGCAAACAGGAUUAGAUACCCGCGUAA